GAUGAACGCUGGCGGCGUGCCUAAUACAUGCAAGUCGAGCGAACAGAUAAGGAGCUUGCUCCUUUGACGUUAGCGGCGGACGGGUGAGUAACACGUGGGUAACCUACCUAUAAGACUGGGAUAACUUCGGGAAACCGGAGCCAACACCGGAUAAUAUUUCGAACCGCAUGGUUCGAUAGUGAAAGAUGGUUUUGCUAUCACUUAUAGAUGGACCCGCGCCGUAUUAGCUAGUUGGUAAGGUAACGGCUUACCAAGGCGACGAUACGUAGCCGACCUGAGAGGAGGAUCAGCGACACGGGAGGGGAGAAAGGGGCCAGACACCUGUGGGAGGCACCAGUAGGGAAUAAUGGACAAUGGAGGAAAGUGUGAAACAACUAGGCCACGUGAGUGAAGAAGGAAUUCGGAUGGUAAAAAUAUCGCGUGAGGGAAGAAGAGAAGCAAGCUAAGACGGAGAGGGCGUGACGGUACCGGCAGAAGAAGCAGCGGCUAACUACGUG
rnacentral:rRNA from 1 species